GAUUAGACUAGGCCGGGAGAUUAGGCGCCUCCUAUAACCUUAAGCCGUCUUAAAAGGGGCCGAAGCCUGAAAAGCAGUUGAAUUGUUUACAUGGUGGAAUCUCUACGAUGUUGAAGCCAUGUCCUACAGGAUUGGCGGCGGAUUAGCUCAUUUUGGAAGAGAUGGGUAAACCCUUCACCUUCCAAAUCCCGUCAGGCCCGGAAGGGAGCAGCGGUAGGGAGGACGUUUAAUGCUUGUAGGGUAGCAGGGUCGAGUACGGGGGAAUCCCUCCCUUGUAGCCAAUUCUGCCCAUUUUCAGGCGGGUCACUAC
rnacentral:SRP_RNA from 1 species